AUAAGGUUCCAAAAUUAUUGUUAAGUGAAAAUAAGGUAGUGUUUAUCCAAGCCAACCAGGAAAUGGGCUUAGGAGCGGCCAUUUUUUAAAGACCUCGUAACAGAGCACUGGUUUUAUACAAUUUUGUAUUGUAUUGUUAGAUGCACCUAAAAUUUAACGGAUCUAAAUAAUAUACCGAGACCUUGUCCAUAAAUAUUUUUAUGUACAAGUUACAUAGAAUAUAUAUGGGGUAGCGGAACAUUGGGCAUAUCUCAGAUUUUUUCUUUUUAAGACUUAAGAUUAGAUUACCCAAGUGAUAAUGCUGACAUGAGUAACGAUAAAGGGUUUAUACCCUCGCCUAAAGCUUAUGGAAUUUACUUAAAGUAACGGCCUCUAAGUUUAAAUUUGCUAUAGUUUAAACAAACAACACUUGAUACCUAACUCUAACAGACGAUACAAGUGCAAAAUAGUAAACACCUAAUGGUAUAAACGAUGAGAAAAAGCUAAGUUUUACAGAUAUAAAUAGCUUGAGUGUUGCAGGUAGGUAUUAUAUAUAUAACGGAUUUUUUUUUUAUUCUUUUUAUCCCAGAGCAACCAAUAUACCAAAGUUGUGCAAGGGAUAAAAAGUAAAUAAAAUAAUUAAUAGAAACUAUAAAAAUUAUAGAUUUAAUAGUUAUUUUGUGCUAAAGUGACAAAUGCUCUGGAAAAAUGUAAAACUACUGACGUGUUAGAGAGUAGGCGAGGUUCAAUCCCUUGUCCAUUAAUAAGCAAUUACCG
rnacentral:rRNA from 1 species